rnacentral:rRNA from 1 species
AUUGAACGCUGGCGGCAGGCCUAACACAUGCAAGUCGAGCGGAUGAAGGGAGCUUGCUCCUGGAUUCAGCGGCGGACGGGUGAGUAAUGCCUAGGAAUCUGCCUGGUAGUGGGGGAUAACGUCCGGAAACGGGCGCUAAUACCGCAUACGUCCUGAGGGAGAAAGUGGGGGAUCUUCGGACCUCACGCUAUCAGAUGAGCCUAGGUCGGAUUAGCUAGUUGGUGGGGUAAAGGCCUACCAAGGCGACGAUCCGUAACUGGUCUGAGAGGAUGAUCAGUCACACUGGAACUGAGACACGGUCCAGACUCCUACGGGAGGCAGCAGUGGGGAAUACUGGACAAUGGGCGAAAGCCUGAUCCAGCCAUGCCGCGUGUGUGAAGAAGGUCUUCGGAUUGUAAAGCACUUUAAGUUGGGAUGAAGGGCAGCAAGUUAAUACCUUGCUGUUUUGACGUUACCAACAGAAUAAGCACCGGCUAACUUCGUG